CUGGCCACACUCUGCUCCAUACAACAUAGUCGGUCUCACUACAACCUUGCAGAACUUACCUUUAAGUUUCAGCGGCACAUUCUUAUCACACAAGACACCGGAAGCGAGCCUCCACUUCAUCCAUCCUGCUCUGAUACGAUGCGUGACAUCUUCAUCAAUCUCCCUGUUACUUUGUAUUAUAGAUCCAAGAUACUUGAAACUACCUCUCUUGGGGAUGACUCGCGCAUCAAGCCUCACCUCCAUAUCCCCUUCUUGGGUACCGUUGCUGAACUUGCACUCCAUGUAUUCUGUCUUGAUCUUGCUCAAUUUGAAACCCUUAGACUCUAGGGUCUGCCUCCAAACCUCCAGCCCCUCGUUUAACACCAUCUCGCGUUUCGUCAAUUAAAACUGUCAUCAGCAAAUAACAUACACCAUGGCACCUCACCUUGAAUGUGUCUCGUCAAUGCGUCUAUCGCCAAAGAAAUAGGAAUGGACUAAGAGUUGAUCCCUGGUGCAACCCAAUCAUAACCGGAAAGUGUUCCGAGUCUCCUCCCGCUGCCCUAAUCCGAGUCUUA
rnacentral:lncRNA from 1 species